GUUUGACAUCUGAAUUGAUAUUAGGGCUUUAGAUCUCUUUAGAAUUUGGAUGAAAUAUGAUUUAACUCGUCUUUGCUAUAGAUUGCUGCCUCUAUAUUUCUGUCUAUUUUCUGUAUUUCAGACUUGAGGCGAACACAGUUUUUUCGAAAAGGAUACAAAAACUAUAGUGAACAUGACUUGGACCUGGCAGCUUUGUCAUAUUUAAAAAAGGAAAUGAACUUAGACACGGCAGUAGAAUUUUAUAAAGUUCCUCGUAUGACUGUCUACAGAAGAGCAAAAAAAUUACAAUCAGAAAUGAUGUUACAUUCUUUUUGUGAUGUGAUUGAGGAUAAGAAAUAGAAUUUGCCUGUUUUUGACUCUGCUUUCUAUGAUAUGGGAAACGGGACACUUUUUGAGAAAAUUUGUUUCCCCAUUUAUGGGUUGUAUAUAAAACACGAGUUUAAUUGUACAUGUACUUAAAACCGAAAACAGUAGAAAUCAAAAUCACUGAACUUCCAAAAUGUAAAACUGUACUCUGUAUUUCAGGGGUCUUUUUGACAGGGAACAUGCAAAAGAAAGAUCGGAAAAGACAUUUUUAUAAACCAGAGAACUUGGAAAGGGCAGUUCAGGCUGUGAAAGCUGGAAUACUGAAUACUUAUCAGGCUGCAAGAUACUUUAAUGUUCCCAGAGGAACAAUAUCAAAUAAAAUAUAUGCCAGAAAAACAAGGGCAAAAUAAAUUUAAAAAUUCUUCAAGACAUAAAUGAAUAACUUUAUUUUUUUGGUCAAUAAAUCAAUCAAACAGA
rnacentral:lncRNA from 1 species